rnacentral:rRNA from 1 species
UGGGUGGAUUAGUGGCGAACGGGUGAGUAACACGUGAGUAACCUGCCCUUAACUCUGGGAUAAGCCUGGGAAACUGGGUCUAAUACCGGAUAGGAGCGUCCACCGCAUGGUGGGUGUUGGAAAGAUUUAUCGGUUUUGGAUGGACUCGCGGCCUAUCAGCUUGUUGGUGAGGUAAUGGCUCACCAAGGCGACGACGGGUAGCCGGCCUGAGAGGGUGACCGGCCACACUGGGACUGAGACACGGCCCAGACUCCUACGGGAGGCAGCAGUGGGGAAUAUUGCACAAUGGGCGAAAGCCUGAUGCAGCGACGCCGCGUGAGGGAUGACGGCCUUCGGGUUGUAAACCUCUUUCAGUAGGGAAGAAGCGAAAGUGACGGUACCUGCAGAAGAAGCACCGGCUAACUACGUGCCAGCAGCCGCGGUAAUACGUAGGGUGCGAGCGUUAUCCGGAAUUAUUGGGCGUAAAGAGCUCGUAGGCGGUUUGUCGCGUCUGUCGUGAAAGUCCGGGGCUUAACCCCGGAUCUGCGGUGGGUACGGGCAGACUAGAGUGCAGUAGGGGAGACUGGAAUUCCUGGUGUAGCGGUGGAAUGCGCAGAUAUCAGGAGGAACACCGAUGGCGAAGGCAGGUCUCUGGGCUGUAACUGACGCUGAGGAGCGAAAGCAUGGGGAGCGAACAGGAUUAGAUACCCUGGUAGUCCAUGCCGUAAACGUUGGGCACUAGGUGUGGGGACCAUUCCACGGUUUCCGCGCCGCAGCUAACGCAUUAAGUGCCCCGCCUGGGGAGUACGGCCGCAAGGCUA